GACGAACGCUGGCGGCGUGCCUAAUACAUGCAAGUAGAACGCACAGUUUAUACCGUAGCUUGCUACACCAUAGACUGUGAGUUGCGAACGGGUGAGUAACGCGUAGGUAACCUGCCUGGUAGCGGGGGAUAACUAUUGGAAACGAUAGCUAAUACCGCAUAAUAUUAAUUAUUGCAUGAUAAUUAAUUGAAAGGUGCAAUUGCACCACUACCAGAUGGAACUGCGUUGUAUUAGCUAGUAGGUGAGGUAACGGCUCACCUAGGCGACGAUACAUAGCCGACCUUGGAGGGUGAUCGGCCACACUGGGACUGAGACACGGCCCAGACUCCUACGGGAGGCAGCAGUAGGGAAUCUUCGGCAAUGGACGGAAGUCUGACCGGGCAACGCCGCGUGAGUGAAGAAGGUUUUCGGAUCGUAAAGCUCUGUUGUAAGAGAAGAACGGGUGUGAGAGUGGAAAGUUCACACUGUGACGGUAUCUUACCAGAAAGGGACGGCUAACUACGUG
rnacentral:rRNA from 1 species